rnacentral:rRNA from 1 species
CACUCCUACGGGAGGCAGCAGUGGGGAAUAUUGCACCAUGGGCGCAAGCCUGAUGCAGCCAUGCCGCGUGUAUGAAGAAGGCCUUCGGGUUGUAAAGUACUUUCAGCGGGGAGGAAGGCGAUAAGGUUAAUAACCUUGUUGAUUGACGUUACCCGCAGAAGAAGCACCGGCUAACUCCGUGCCAGCAGCCGCGGUAAUACGGAGGGUGCAAGCGUUAAUCGGCAUUACUGGGCGUAAAGCGCACGCAGGCGGUCUGUCAAGUCGGAUGUGAAAUCCCCGGGCUCAACCUGGGAACUGCAUUCGAAACUGGCAGGCUAGAGUCUUGUAGAGGGGGGUAGAAUUCCAGGUGUAGCGGUGAAAUGCGUAGAGAUCUGGAGGAAUACCGGUGGCGAAGGCGGCCCCCUGGACAAAGACUGACGCUCAGGUGCGAAAGCGUGGGGAGCAAACAGGAUUAGAAACCCGAGUAGUCCC